CGGCACAAGCUCAGAUUUGAAAUCUGGCCCUUUCAGGGUCCGAGUUGUAGUCUGCAGAGGGUGCUUUGGCACGGGCGGCGGUCUAAGUUCCUUGGAACAGGACAUCACAGAGGGUGAGAAUCCCGUACGUGGCAGCCUGCCCUUGCCGUGUAAAGCCCCUUCGAC
rnacentral:rRNA from 1 species